rnacentral:lncRNA from 1 species
UCUCUGGUGCUUCUGCGCCUGGGUGGCCGCCGGCUGGCCGCCAGGCAGCGCCCUACAGCUCCGGCCGGGCAUGCCAAAUGUUUGUGAAGUCCCCCAACUGUGUGUGCAGCCGCUCACACACGCUGGCUCUGGAGACGGGGCUGUGCCGGCCUCGGAUGGUGUGUGGCUUGUGAAAGAAGGACCCGGUACUACACCAGCUACAGACAAGCAUACAGCAUGCAGCAACAGGCCAUCUACAAGUGCUGGCCUGGUUGGAGCCCACAGGACAAUGAACCUGGAUGCCUACACUUAUGCUGGAUAUUAUCGAGAACAUAGAGAAUCAUUUUGUCUGCUGUUGAACCACUUGGGUACUGGCUAUGAAGACAAAACACACACCUAAGUCAGAGAGCACCAAGUGGUCCUCUUUUUUGUCUUUUUAUUCCUGUGGGUCUGUCGUGUUACCCAUCCGUGAGCCUCCACCGCAUCCAUCUGAAGACUGAGCAGAGCCCUUUGGACAUGGUGAUCUGGGGUUGGCAGAG